rnacentral:rRNA from 1 species
UACGUAGGGGGCGAGCGUUGUCCGGAAUGACUGGGCGUAAAGGGCGCGUAGGCGGUCUGGUAAGUUAGGAGUGAAAGUCCACUUUUCAAGGGAGGAACUGCUUUUAAUACUGUCAGGCUUGAGUGCAGAAGAGGUAAGCGGAAUUCCCAGUGUAGCGGUGAAAUGCGUAGAGAUUGGGAAGAACACCAGUGGCGAAGGCGGCUUACUGGGCUGUAACUGACGCUGAGGCGCGAAAGCGUGGGGAGCGAAC